GACAGAGGGUGCGAGCGUUGAUCGGAAUAACUGGGCGUAAAGGGCACGCAGGCGGGCCUUUAAGUGGGAUGUGAAAUCCCCGGGCUUAACCGUGGAAUAGCAUUCCAGACUGGAGGUCUAGAGUACUUUAGAGGAGGGUAGAAUGCGACGUGUAGCGGUGAAAUUCGUAGAGAUGUGGCGGAACACCGAAGGCGAAGGCAGCCUCUUGGGAAGUUACUGACGCUGAUAUGCGAAAGCGUGGGGAGCAAACAGG
rnacentral:rRNA from 1 species